rnacentral:rRNA from 1 species
UACGAAGGGUGCUAGCGUUGUUCGGAAUCACUGGGCGUAAAGCGCGCGUAGGCGGCUAAGCAAGUCAGAGGUGAAAUGCCAGAGCUUAACUCUGGAACUGCCUUUGAAACUGCUUAGCUAGAGACUCGGAGGGGAUAGCGGAAUUCCUAAUGUAGAGGUGAAAUUCGUAGAUAUUAGGAGGAACACCGGUGGCGAAGGCGGCUAUCUGGACGAGUACUGACGCUGAGGCGCGAAAGCGUGGGGAUCAAACAGG